CAGUCGCCACGGUAAUACGUAGGGUGCAAGCGUUAAUCGGAACUACUGGGCGUAAAGCGUGCGCAGGCGGUUCGUUAAGACAGAUGUGAAAUCCCCGGGCUUAACCUGGGAACUGCAUUUGUGACUGGCGGGCUAGAGUAUGGCAGAGGGGGGUAGAAUUCCACGUGUAGCAGUGAAAUGCGUAGAGAUGUGGAGGAAUACCGAUGGCGAAGGCAGCCCCCUGGGCCAAUACUGACGCUCAUGCACGAAAGCGUGGGGAGCAAACAGGAUUAGAUACCCGCGUAGUCCCUGUCUCUUAUAA
rnacentral:rRNA from 1 species